CACUCCUUACCUGACUCCGCCGCCGCCGCCUCUCCAGGUUCAAGCCUCCACCGUUGAGACCAUAUGCUCCGGGAUCCGACCAUCUGCGAUCUAGCCAGAACGCUCAAGCCAUCACUCUUUGCUUCCGCCCACUACGGCGUCAACUGUCUCCCACGCUGUCAUCUGGACCACGGAUAAUGAGAAAGCAAAAAAUAGGAUCCAUGGCCGUGAGGGGAAGGUCAGGGUCAGCAUGAAGAUCAAACAAGGCAUCAAGGAGACAUCUAGCAUUUUUAUAAUUGUUCAUGGACAUGGUUAGCACAGGAAAAGUAGAGAAGGGCAUUACAGCGAGGAGGAUAGAAUAUGCACAGGGGCCGGCCGACGCCGUAUGAUGUGUAGCAUCACAUGACGUACAUCAGGCAACUAAUGAUGCACGAUCGCGUACAUCCGGCAGCUAAUGAUGAACGAUUGGUCCACAACACUCCUGGUAUCAUUUUUUCUUUUUAGUUGUUAAUUUUGUUAUUAGUCACGUCUUGAUAGUCAUGUGUCCGUUAAUAUUUUGGCCUAAAAAGGGGACAAAUUUUAACUCUGCUGCUGCUUAUGUGAGCAAUAUAAGUUUCUAACUUUCUAAAAAAUCAACACCCAAUAGACUAUAUCUUUUCUUGGUUGAUCUGGUAGUUAAAUUUUAAAAUGGUAGCACACAAUAUUUAAGCUAGCUGAAGGGAAUGGUUGAGUUGUACGACUUUCCAUUUGUGUUGUUCUUUUGUUAUUUGGCGAAACUGAACCACUUCCAGGCCAAGAAGCUAAGGUCGCAAAAUCUUGCCGACAGUGUUUUCAUUGUCAUCGCUCCAAUUGCUAGCACAGAUAAUCGGUGCUCUCCUUGCCUUACCCCUGAAGACGAUGUUCUACUGCCUCCUUACCUGAUUGGAUAUUUUUUUACUAUGCAAUUAAUAUUAAGUAGACUCAAUGAAACAUUUAUUUUUCUGAUCACUGGUUAUUCUGUUAGCAAUUAUAUCAACAAUUUUUCAUGGACCUGGGUGUACCAGAUAAUGCAAUCAGCAUAGCCUCUACAUCAGGUAAAUACGUUUUCUUUUUGUUGGUCCUUCUGCCCCCUUGGUUGUUUAAUGCCCGUGCUCAUGUUCAUGGUCAUUCGCUCACAUAUAUAAAGAUUGUGAUUAAUUCUUUGUGUCAGGGCUAUUAUUUUCUUACUGCUGGAUAACCUUUGUUGCUAAUACAUUGUUCCUUCUUUCGGAUUAUAAUCUCUACUACCUAAUCGAUGUGUUCUCAGGUUCUAUUCCAAUUUUCUUGCUAGGCACUCGAAUAAGUUCCUGUGGUUGUAAAUUCUACCCUUGAAUUGCAUGCUGUUUUACUGAGUAUGCGGAGCAAAUAAAACUGUAAUUACACAAUCAUGUGUCAAAUUUGUUUGAGGGAGAGAACUAUGUGCAAAUGGAAGUAUCAUACGUGACCAUCACAUAUCAUAGAUGAAAAGAGUAUGUGGUAUGUAUUGCCAUGGCUUCACCGAUAAAACGUACUGAACUAUUCUUACUACUCCAAUUGGUUCUUGGUUUCGUAAGGAAACAAGAAGCCGUGGGAAGGAUUCCAUUGUUUGUGGCUUGAGCAUUGAGGGGCUACUUUUGGCAUUAUCAUAUUUAUUCUGCUAGAUGAAAUGGUGCCGAAUCCACAUCAGAACAACUCGAAGUUCCGUAUGGUAGGUGAUAUUUUUUUCAUUUCAUUUUCUUACGGAGUCAUAUAGAUAUAUAUGUUUAUAUGUUGUUUGUAGUAUGAAUAUUCAGAUCAGUAUCUCAACUCCAUUUGCUCAUAUAUUUACAAACAACUGAACUACAUCAUUUGUGGGGGCGAUUACCCAUAAACCAGGAAAGGUUUAUAUGAAAUAUUCUAUGGAUAGUGGCGGCGACCCAUAAAAUAUGUUUUAUUUUAUUUUCAAGUUGAUUGCAGAGCGAAUUUUCCUUACUUAUUAUUCUGUGGAAGCUCUCUCCUUUUAGGCAAACACUGUUCAUGAGGUAUAUAUAUUCAGAGGAAGCACAUAAGGAUACAUAUAUACGUAUAGUUGCCCCUAUUCUAUCUAAAGACUUUGAAUCUGGCAGUGUUUAUAUGAAGAUCACAAUAUAAAUUAACCACUAUAUGUUAUACAUGAUGAUUAAUUAAGUUAGUUAGCGAUAUUCAGUGGGCUUGAUUGGUAUAUGGAAUUUCCUCAGUCUCUUAUUUAUAUGAGUAGAACUAAUUGGUCUGGAGUUAGGUGUAGCUAUAUCACAGACUCUGAUAUGCAAUUUGUAUUCAAUCGAGUGGCCUAAACAUCUCCAUCAAAAAUAGUUAUUCAGAAAAAUGAUGAAUUAAAAUUUAUAAAUAAUAAGCAAUAUGAAUUGUAAGUGAAGUCUUUAAGUACUGUAGAAAUUUGUACCAUAACAUAAACAAAACAUAGUCCUAGCUGGGCUUCUUUUAUAUGAGAAAAUUACUAUUGAUCCAAAUGCUAAGGCAUAUAACUAUACGUGUUUUCCUUUCAAUAGCUAGGAUAAUAGUUUUCAAUAUAUAUGGCUUACUAAAAUGCUAUUGCCGAUGCAUAUAUUUAUAGCUCUAUGAAUCCAAAGUAAAAUAUUUAUUUUCCACUCUUUGUUGAAAUAGAUAGUAUGAUAUACACAGUGUUAUAGAUAUAUUAUAGCAAAUCAGUUCAAUUAAUAAAAUGUUGUAUAUUGCUGAAUUUGCACAUAUAUUUUUGCAAUAUAGUAUAUACAUAUAAAUAUUAAAAUUUGCAUGUGUGAACAAGUGAAAUUCAUGAAUGAAAAUACCAAGCAAAACAAAAAG